GACGAACGCUGGCGGCGUGCUUAACACAUGCAAGUCGAGCGGUAAGGCCCUUUCGGGGGUACACGAGCGGCGAACGGGUGAGUAACACGUGGGUGACCUGCCCUCAGCUCUGGGAUAAGCCUGGGAAACCGGGUCUAAUACCGGAUAUGACUCCGCGGUGCAUGCUGUGGGGUGGAAAGCCUUGUGCGGCUGGAGAUGGGCCCGCGGCCUAUCAGCUUGUUGGUGGGGUGAUGGCCUACCAAGGCGACGACGGGUAGCCGGCCUGAGAGGGCGACCGGCCACACUGGGACUGAGACACGGCCCAGACUCCUACGGGAGGCAGCAGUGGGGAAUCUUGCGCAAUGGGCGAAAGCCUGACGCAGCGACGCCGCGUGAGGGAUGACGGCCUCGGUGUAAC
rnacentral:rRNA from 1 species